rnacentral:rRNA from 1 species
UACAGAGGCCUCGAGCGUUAGGCGGAAUCACUGGGCUUAAAGCGUGCGUAGGUGGUUUGUUAAGUCUGAUGUGAAAGCCCUGGGCUCAACCUGGGAAUUGCAUUGGAUACUGGCAGGCUAGAGUGCGGUAGGGGAUGGCGGAAUUCCCGGUGUAGCAGUGAAAUGCGUAGAGAUCGGGAGGAACACCCAGGGGGAAACCAGCCGACUGGGCAUCUACUGACGCUGAGGUGCGAGAGCGUGGGGAGCGAACCGG